AAAUACAGGUUGACAAGUGCUAAGAGAAAAGUCAGAGGCUGUGGGAACAGAGAGGACGAGUAUCUAACCAGCCCGGGGUAUCUGAAAGACUUCGUGGAGGAGGAGAAAACACCUGGGCUAAAUCUUAAAGGAAGACCAGAAGUUACCCAGGGAAAGAAGUGAAGGAAGACAUUAUACACAGAGAGGCCAGGAGAUUCCAGCCUCAGCAUUCCCAGAGAAGGCCCAAGAUCUCCCUGAGAGGCCCAGUUGGUGUUUGGGGAAUCAACACUACUCUGGUGAUCACACAGUUUGCCUCACUUUCUCCAUGGAGCUCUUUGCUAAAGGACAUUCUCCUCCAGCUGUGAAGGAAAAGUUCAACAAAAGGCAGGGUGUUUUGUUCUAACUGAGGACGUCUACUGACACAGCAAAGCUGUAAAGCAGACCACGGACUGCAGCGCAGUGUGGAGAACAACUCUACAUCUGGUUGGAGGUGGAGUAAUGUCCAGUCUGUGCACAGACAGAUGGCAGGUGUGCAGCUGCACUCAGCAUGGGAUAGAGCACCACCUGCCAGGCCAGAACAGAAAGAAGGGCUAUGGAGACUGGCAGAGAAACAACAAUUACUGCUCGGUGAGAAGUAAACAGCGUCUGCUUCCAGAGGCUUUAUGGACCAGAAAGCCUGUAGGAAAUAGCUCCUGCUUCCCAACCUGGAGUUCCUCACGCACUAGCCCUCCCUGCUACAAUUUUGAUGGGUUUUUUUGCAUAUUUACAGAACUGUGCGACCACCAUCAUGAUCAGUCUUAGAAGAGUUAAUCACCUCUCACUCCAGAAAACUCUGUAUUCAUUAGCAGUCACUCCCUUUCCCCUUCCCACCCCUCUCCAACAUUAGGCAACCACUGAUCUACUCUCUGUCUCCAUAAACUGGUCUAUUUUGGACAUUUCACAUAAGCCUCCCUGGAUCCCAGUUUAAGCAUCCUGGGGUUUGUCUACCUGCCAGAGCCAUGGUGCCAGUGGGGCUACCUGUCCUGUGGGAUAACAAGGCAGGUUCAAACCUUUGCCUGCUCUCCCAUUCAUUCCUUUUGUGUUAGUCCAUGAGUCUCCUGACUGUUCUCUCCAACGACAACCACAGACUGACGAAAACCUACUGACUUGGAGUCAGGAACAGACUUUGCUACUUUCUGGCUGUGUGAUCCUGAUGAGUCACUUGAACCUCCUGUUCCUCAGCCUAAAACCAAGACUAAUAAAUCAAGUCUAUCUCACUGCCUUACAUGGGGAUUAAAAAGAUAGAGCAUGCAAACACACAUUGUACAUCACAAAGCUGUGUGCAAAUAAAUAUCAUGUAAUUCCAGCCCUUUUUGAGUUUAUAAAUAAAAGUGAAAACCUCAUAACUC